UGGCUUGUUGAUUUCUUCCAUUGGAAGUUAACCCUAGUCGAGCCUACUUACCAUACCCCGACUUACCUUAUGUUGGCCACUUGACUUACUAUAUAUAUUGGUGCCUUUGCCUUUGUUGGAACCGUCCAAAAUUGAAGCCGUGAGGAAGAAGAAACUGCCGUGUCCAGCCGUGUCUUAUGUCUUCAUCUUCUUCGUGAUUUCUUCUCCACCCAAAUUGCUUGAGUCUUUGUGAACCUUACCUGAGUGGUAUCCAUCCUAAGUGUGUGGAUUUAAUCAACCAAGCAAGAGAAGAAAGCAACCAUAGGAAGAAGAGUAGCCGGCGGUAUGGGUUCUUCCAGUUUGAUGUUGAAACUCGGUUUUAAUGGUUAACUGAGCCCGGGAAUCAGCGUGAGCAGCAAGAGGAAGGUCCUAACAG
rnacentral:lncRNA from 1 species